rnacentral:rRNA from 1 species
CGUAGGUGAACCUGCGGAAGGAUCAUUACCGAGUGCGGGCCCUCUGGGUCCAACCUCCCAUCCGUGUCUAUCUGUACCCUGUUGCUUCGGCGUGGCCACGGCCCGCCGGAGACUAACAUUUGAACGCUGUCUGAAGUUUGCAGUCUGAGUUUUUAGUUAAACAAUCGUUAAAACUUUCAACAACGGAUCUCUUGGUUCCGGCAUCGAUGAAGAACGCAGCGAAAUGCGAUAAUUAAUGUGAAUUGCAGAAUUCAGUGAAUCAUCGAGUCUUUGAACGCACAUUGCGCCCCCUGGUAUUCCGGGGGGCAUGCCUGUCCGAGCGUCAUUGCUGCCCUCAAGCACGGCUUGUGUGUUGGGCUUCCGUCCCUGGCAACGGGGACGGGCCCAAAAGGCAGUGGCGGCACCAUGUCUGGUCCUCGAGCGUAUGGGGCUUUGUCACCCGCUCCCGUAGGUCCAGCUGGCAGCUAGCCUCGCAACCAAUCUUUUUAACCAGGUUGACCUCGGAUCAGGUAGGGAUACCCGCUGAACUUAAGCAUAUCAAUAA